rnacentral:rRNA from 1 species
GCAAUACAAGGCAGACGGCUCAGUAACACGUAUGCCAAUCUAACCUAUGGACGGGGAUAACCUCGGGAAACUGAGGAUAAACCCCGAUAGAUCAUUAUGCCUGGAACGGUUUAUGGUCCAAACGAUUCGUCGCCAUAGGAUGAGACUGCGGCCUAUCAGCUUGUUGGUGAGGUAAUGGCUCACCAAGGCUAUUACAGGUACGGGCUCUGAGAGGAGAAGCCCGGAGAUGGGUACUGAGACACGGACCCAGGCCCUAUGGGGCGCAGCAGGCGAGAAACCUUUGCAAUGUGCGCAAGCACGACAAGGUUAAUCCGAGUGUUUCCUGCUAAAGGAAUCUUUUGCUAGUCCUAAAAACACUAGCGAAUAAGGGGUGGGCAAGUUCUGGUGUCAGCCGCCGCGGUAAAACCAGCACCUCAAGUUGUCAGGAGGAUUAUUGGGCCUAAAGCAUCCGUAGCCUGCUCUGUAAGUUUCCGGUUAAAUCCAUUAGCUCAACUAAUGGGCUGCCGGAAAAACUGCAAAACUAUGGAGUGGGAGAGGUANACGGUACCCGGUAGGAA